GGAGAGGUGGCGGAAUUGGUAGACGCGCUACUUUGAGGGGGUAGUGCCAGUAUGGCGUGGGAGUUCGAGUCUCCUCCUCUUCA
rnacentral:tRNA from 1 species